ACUGACGUCAUACACUGUUGUUGUUUUGGUUUUUCACUGACAAAAUUUUCUGAAGUCUCUCUUGAAUUCUUCGCUUUCAAAUAUAUCUGAAGUGUGGUUCCGAGACCUCUACAUUUCACGGCAGUGAUGGGCGGGGCCGUGAGUACCGGGGAGGACAACGACGAGUUAGUGGAUAACCUGGUGGGGGCAGAUUAUAUAAAGACUCCUAUGGUAGAGAAGGUUUUCCGGGCAGUGGACCGGGCCAGCUACUACCUGCCAGAUCAGCGUGGCAACGCUUACAAAGAUCUGGCAUGGAAACAUGGACACUUCCACCUAUCUGCUCCAUGCAUCUACUCUGAGGUGAUGGAGUCCCUUCAACUGGAGCCAGGGAAAUCCUUCCUUAAUCUGGGUAGUGGUACAGGCUACCUCAACACCAUGGUGGGACUUAUACUUGGGCCGUACGGAAUCAACCAUGGGGUAGAAUUCCACGCUGAUGUGGUAGAGUAUGCCCAGAAAAAACUGGAAGAGUUUAAACAAGUGUGCAAGUCAUUUGAUGACUUCGAGUUCUGCGAGCCAUGGUUUGUCCUGGGCAACUGUCUCCAGAUCCCAUCCAGCUGUCGCCUGUAUGACCGGGUAUAUUGCGGAGCUUCAUGUCCACCUGAACACGAGAACUAUAUGAAGAAUCUACUGGCUGUUGGGGGGAUAUUGGUGAUGCCACUCAAUGACCAGCUUUUGCAGAUUCGUCGUACAGGGGAGACAGUUUGGGAGUCAAAGGGUGUCAUGUCAGUAUCCUUUGCGACACUGAUCAGUCCUUCUAAGGAGGACACCAAUGACACUGUAGAGCUACCGGAGGCCAGCAUUCCAAUUCUACAGAGUAUUUGUCGAGACAGCAUCAGAAGGAUAAUACGUACCAAUAUAUACAAAGAGCAUCCAUCUUUGAACACAGUCCGUAAACGACCUGCCAAAAAACAAAAGGCCAGGCGUCAAAGACGAAAGCGCAUCAACAUGGUACCGAUGAGUAUGGGCAUGAUGAUUCUCGGCCAGUUUAAUGGGAGCGAUGAGAGUGAUGAUGACAGCAUUAUUGACCAUCAGGGUCAACCAUGCCAUGAUGAGGAGGAUAUCUCAGACUCAGGGUCAGACAGAGGAGAAGGACAGGAGGGAUCAGAUGAGGACAGAAGACCAAGAGGGAGGAAAAGCCUCCGAAGAAGGUCAGCUCGACAAGGAAUGGAGGAAGAUAUAGAAGAAGAUGAAGAGGAAGAGGAGGGGGAGGAUGAGGAUUAUGAAUCUACUCCAAGGAGGAGAGUUACUGCUAGACAAACGUUACACGAACUGGCUACCAGACUCAAUGAAGUCAGGACGCAGUUAAGUGUUCAAAGACAAAUGGACCAAAUGUCAAGGUUACAGCCCAAUGAGGAAGAGGAAAAUCAAGUUACAAACAAUGAAGAAAAAGAUGAUGAUGAAGGAGUGGAGGAAGAAGAUAUAUAUGCUUAUAAUGAUGAUGAUGAAGGCCAUGGUGAAGAGGAGAGCGAGGGAAAAGAGGAUGAAGUAGUGCAAAAUAAAAGUGGUGUGCAAAGUUCCCUUGAAGACUUGGACAAAGAGGAUAUGGAGCUAGGAAUUUUUACAGAAAUGUUUCCUCCUCCUAUUCCCUGUUCCAGUGGCAGCCCCCCACACAAACAGCGCUACUCCUCGAGUACAAGUGUCGACACCUCCGAGACUUCAGGCAUAGGCUCCUUUUCCGAGGCAUCAGCUAUUGGCUCUCUUGGAGAGGAUGCAGUAUUGAUACAGGCAAUGAGUUCCUCCUCCUCACAGGGCAGUAGGGCAGAUGGCAGUCCACUGGAAUCUUUCAUGGAUAGUAUAACAGAACCCACAGAGUGUAUAGACACAGUUCCAAAGGAGUGUAUUAAAUCUUACAUGAAGGAGAAAAUAGACACACUGCCUCUCCCCGAGGCCCUGAAGGCCUUUCUCAUGUAUUACAGGGACUGAAGUAUGAAUAGAGUGCUCUCCCUUUCUCCCUAGUCCAAGUCAAAUAGGUAACACACACUCUUCCGAUAACACAAAUCAAUAGUGAUCGUCUUGAGCUGUCACAGACAUUGUUAUGUCCGACCCGUAAGUAUUUUGACAUUCUGUCUAAUCCAGCACAAAUCUCUGACAUUGUAUCCAUUUCCUCUACAAAAGACUGGUGUAAUCCUACUUCAUGUUUUUGUGCCACAGUUUGUCGAUUAGGACAAGUUUCACUGUACAAGUAAACAUCCUAUACGGCAUACAGCCUAUUUUACAUGCUGUUCAUUCGUUUGGAAAUAUUCAGUGUUGAAUUUGCAGCUUUGAGAUUAACGUUAGGUUUAUGAUAGUGCUACUUGACUAGAAAUGAUCGUUGUUGUGUUCAUUCUGUGGUUUCAUCGACAGUACUGCAAAAUGAUGCAGUGAAAGUAAUGGUUCCUAUAUCAGUGUCGCUUGUAUAACACAUAGUACUAUCAUGUUGGUCUGUGCCAGGAAAAACAGUGAGGUAGAAUGAGGGGAAGGGAGUGUCCUGAACCCUAUUGUAAGGACAAUAGUUUUCUCUGGCCCCACAUCAGACAUCUAUAUAUAUGUUAAAAUGUCUACAUGCAGUCUGGUGUCAGGGCCAGAUGAAACUCAAGCUAUAAGUACCCUGGUAAAAAGUACAUUCAAAUUCCUAUUGUACAUUGACCGUGAUCAACCUAGAGACUGUUUAGGUGUCUGAAGCUAUUCGUGAUGGUCGGAGAACAUAACGACAAGCCAUCCAGGUUUUUGUAUUUAUAGAAAAAUGUUUGGACAGCUACUUGUAUUGUGAAUAAUCUCCCUUUGUAAUGUUUUCUACUUCCUGUUAAUUUGCAUUUGCAUUUAAUAUGUAAAUACAUGUACUUGUUUGAUAAUUGCAUUGAACAAUGCUGUUACACUAUGGAGAUUGUCGUCCGGAAAUUUUAGUACAUAGAUAAUGUGAAUCUUCACAAAAUAUUUUGAUUUCAGAAAUGGGUCAAGAUUCCAUGUCUUAACAGGAAAAAAUCCUAGGAAAAUGUCUUUUGGUUUGAAGGUGUAUGCAUUUCAACCUGGUCUUUAAGUUUGUCCCUGUCAAUGAAAUUAUUGGGUAAAACAGUUGUCUAUAUUCUUCCCUUGGAUACUAAUUCUGAAUAUUUUUGUUAAGAAACUUCACUGAAAAAUGUUUAAUAAUUAAAUGAUCUGUUUUUUUAAAGCGUUGGGGCUGUAGUCCAAAGUUCAAGGUUACAGGAGUGGGCCUGGGCCAGAAGUAUUAACAGCUCAGUAUUUUUUUAAGGAAACUUCAUAGAUGCAGAUCAAUAAUGAGAGUAGGUACUUGCCGGGUACUAGACAGUGUGUCCCAGGAGGUACUUACCUGGUACUUGACAGUGUGUCCCAGGAGGUACUUACCUGGUACUAGACAGUGUGUCCCAAGAGGUACUUACCUGGUACUAGACAGUGUGUCCCAGGAGCUGCUUACCUGGUACUCGACAGUGUGUCCCAGGAGGUACUUACCUGGUACUUGACAGUGUGUCCCAGGAGGUACUUACCUGGUAAUAGACAGUGUGUCCCAGGAGGUACUUACCUGGUAAUAGACAGUGUGUCCCAGGAGGUACUUACCUGGUAAUAGACAGUGUGUCCCAGGAGGUACUUACCUGGUACUAGACAGUGUGUCCCAGGAGGUACUUACUAGGUACUUAAGAAAGUGUGUCCCAGUAGGUACUUACUAGGUACUAGACAGUGUGUCCCAGGAGGUACUUUCUAAGUACUUAAGACAGUGUGUCCCAGGAGGUACUUUCCAGGUACUAGACAGUGUGUCCCAGGAGGUACUUACUAGGUACUUAAGACAGUGUGUCCCAGGAGGUACUAACUAGGUACUUAAGACAGUGUGUCCCAGGAGGUACUUACCAGGUACUAGACAGUGUGUCCCAGGAGGUACUUACUAGGUACUUAAGACAGUGUGUCCCAGGAGGUACUAACUAGGUACUAGACAGUGGGUCCCAGGAGGUUCUUAUGUGAUUACCAGGUACUAGACAGUGGGUCCCAGGAGGUACUUACCAGGUACUAGUCAGGUGGUAUUUACAGGCUACAAGACACUAGACAGUAUGUCCCUGGUGGUACCUACCGGGUACUUGACCGUGUGUCCAUGGAGAUACCUACCAGGUACUUGACAGUGCGUCCAUGGAGAUACCUACCGCGUACUUGACAGUGUGUCCCAGGAGGUACCUACCGGGUACUUGACAGUGUGUCCCUGGAGGUACUUACUGGGUACUAGACAGUGUGUCCCAGGUUGUACUUACAGGGUACUAGACAGUGUGGCCAAGGAGGUACUUACUGGGUACUAGACAGGGUGUCCCAGGGUGUACUUACUGGGUACUAGACAGUGUGGCCAAGGAGGUACUUACUGGGUACUAGACAGUGUGUCCCAGGAGGCACUCACCUGGUACUAGACAGUGUAUUGCGAUGAAACUACACAUGGCAAACUGAAGUGGAGUUGGAUUAUGGAAUUCUGUGAUUUUGGUAGUCCUAUAUGCACACAUAUAUUCUUAAGAUGUAAUUUGACUCCUUCAUGAUAAGAUAGUAACAGAAUUACAUGAUUUUAAAACUGUGAUAUUUUCCCAUUACAAUUGUUGAAAAACACAUUUUUGUGUAUGUAAUAAUAUUUAUAUACAGCUGUAUGUACAAAACUUAUUUAUAGUGUAUAGUUUUGAUGUAGCUCAUCUAAAUGUGCAUGUCCUUGGAAAACUUCUAUUAACUUGAAAGAGCUGUUAUGCAAGCUUGAAGGAAAUAUAUAUUUAAAAUAACCUGAAUUUUAGCUCACCAGGUCCGAAAGGACCAUGGUGAGCUUAUGCCAUA